rnacentral:rRNA from 1 species
UACGAAGGGGGCUAGCGUUGCUCGGAAUCACUGGGCGUAAAGGGUGCGUAGGCGGGUCUUUAAGUCAGGGGUGAAAUCCUGGAGCUCAACUCCAGAACUGCCUUUGAUACUGAGGAUCUUGAGUUCGGGAGAGGUGAGUGGAACUGCGAGUGUAGAGGUGAAAUUCGUAGAUAUUCGCAAGAACACCAGUGGCGAAGGCGGCUCACUGGCCCGAGACUGACGCUGAGGCACGAAAGCGUGGGGAGCAAACAGG